GACGAACGCUGGCGGCGUGCUUAACACAUGCAGGUCGAACGGAAAGGCCCUGCUUUUGUGGGGUGCUCGGGUGGCGAACGGGUGAGUAACACGUGAGUAACCUGCCCUUGACUUUGGGAUAACUUCAGGAAACUGGGGCUAAUACCGGAUAGGAGCUCCUGCUGCAUGGUGGGGGUUGGAAAGUUUCGGCGGUUGGGGAUGGACUCGCGGCUUAUCAGCUUGUUGGUGGGGUAGUGGCUUACCAAGGCUUUGACGGGUAGCCGGCCUGAGAGGGUGACCGGCCACAUUGGGACUGAGAUACGGCCCAGACUCCUACGGGAGGCAGCAGUGGGGAAUAUUGCACAAUGGGCGGAAGCCUGAUGCAGCAACGCCGCGUGCGGGAUGACGGCCUUCGGGUUGUAAACCGCUUUCGCCUGUGACGAAGCGUGAGUGACGGUAAUGGGUAAAGAAGCACCGGCUAACUACGUG
rnacentral:rRNA from 1 species